GGCGAGUGAAGAGGGAAAAGCUCAAAGUUGGAACCUGGUAGGCAUAGCUUACCCGGAUUGUAAACUAAAGUUUUCGAGUCGUUUAGUCAGCCAGGUAAAUAAGUCCUCUGGAAAGGGGCGACAUAGAGGGUGAAAUCCCCGUCUUUGGCCUGAGUUUUGAUUAGGCGUUUGGCUUGGAAACGAAGAGUCAGGUUGUUUGGGAAUGCAGCCUAAAAUGGGAGGUAAAUCUCUCCUAAAGCUAAAUAUUGACGAAAGACCGAUAGCGAACAAGUACCGUGAGGGAAAGAUGAAAAGCACUUUGAAAAGAGGGUCAAAAAGUACGUGAAAUUGCUGAAAGGGAACCGUAUGAAAUCAGAUCUACUGGUAGGUAAUCAAUCUUUCCUUUGGGAAGGAUGCACUUGCCUACUAUGUAUGCCAGCGACAUUUUGGUUGGGAGGAAAAAAAUAAAGGAAAUGUAGCUUAGGUUUCGGCUUAGGUGUUAUAGUCCUUUAUAAAAUACUCUCGGCUGGAAUGAGGAACGCAGCAAACCGUAAGGCGAAGAUUUCAGGCGCUUAGAGGGAAUAAUUAGAGAAUUUCUGCUUCGGGUGGUGCUUUGAUUAUUACCUUUAACACGCUUGGAGUUCUUUUAAUUU
rnacentral:rRNA from 1 species